rnacentral:rRNA from 1 species
UACGUAGGGGGCUAGCGUUGUCCGGAUUUAUUGGGCGUAAAGAGCGUGUAGGCGGCCAUGUAGGUCCGGUGUGAAAUCUCCAGGCUCAACCUGGAGGGGUCAUUCGAUACUGCCGUGACUAGAGUUCGGUAGAGGAGUGUGGAAUUCCUGGUGGAGCGGUGAAAUGCGCAGAGAUCAGGAGGAACACCCGUAGCGAAGGCGGCACUCUGGGCCGAUACUGACACUGAGGAGCGGAAGCGUGGGGAGCGAACAGG